rnacentral:rRNA from 1 species
UACGUAGGUGGCGAGCGUUGUCCGGAUUUAUUGGGGUUAAAGGGUGCGUAGGCGGCUUUGUAAGUCAGUGGUGAAAUACUCUAGCUUAACUAGAGGGGUGCCAUUGAUACUGCGGAGCUUGAGUACAGAUGAGGUAGGCGGAAUUGACGGUGUAGCGGUGAAAUGCAUAGAUAUCGUCAAGAACACCGAUAGCGAAGGCAGCUUACUGGGCUGUAACUGACGCUGAGGCACGAAAGUGUGGGGAUCAAACAGG